rnacentral:rRNA from 1 species
AACGAACGCUGGCGGCAGGCUUAACACAUGCAAGUCGAGCGCCCCGCAAGGUGAGCGGCAGACGGGUGAGUAACGCGUGGGAAUCUACCCAUCACUACGGAACAACUCCGGGAAACUGGAGCUAAUACCGUAUACGUCCUUCGGGAGAAAGAUUUAUCGGUGAUGGAUGAGCCCGCGUUGGAUUAGCUAGUUGGUGGGGUAAUGGCCUACCAAGGCGACGAUCCAUAGCUGGUCUGAGAGGAUGAUCAGCCACACUGGGACUGAGACACGGCCCAGACUCCUACGGGAGGCAGCAGUGGGGAAUAUUGGACAAUGGGCGAAAGCCUGAUCCAGCCAUGCCGCGUGAGUGAUGAAGGCCCUAGGGUUGUAAAGCUCUUUCACCGGUGAAGAUAAUGACGGUAACCGGAGAAGAAGCCCCGGCUAACUUCGUGCCAGCCGCCGCGGUAAAAC